AGUUUGAUCCUGGCUCAGGAUGAACGCUAGCUACAGGCUUAACACAUGCAAGUCGAGGGGCAGCAUGGUCUUAGCUUGCUAAGACUGAUGGCGACCGGCGCACGGGUGAGUAACACGUAUCCAACCUGCCGUCUACUCUUGGACAGCCUUCUGAAAGGAAGAUUAAUACAAGAUGGCAUCAUGAGUCCGCAUGUUCACAUGAUUAAAGGUAUUCCGGUAGACGAUGGGGAUGCGUUCCAUUAGAUAGUAGGCGGGGUAACGGCCCACCUAGUCUUCGAUGGAUAGGGGUUCUGAGAGGAAGGUCCCCCGCAUUGGAACUGAGACACGGUCCAAACUCCUACGGGAGGCAGCAGUGAGGAAUAUUGGUCAAUGGGCGAGAGCCUGAACCAGCCAAGUAGCGUGAAGGAUGACUGCCCUAUGGGUUGUAAACUUCUUUUAUAAAGGAAUAAAGUCGGGUAUGUAUACCCGUUUGCAUGUACUUUAUGAAUAAGGAUCGGCUAACUCCGUGCCAGCAGCCGCGGUAAUACGGAGGAUCCGAGCGUUAUCCGGAUUUAUUGGGUUUAAAGGGAGCGUAGAUGGAUGUUUAAGUCAGUUGUGAAAGUUUGCGGCUCAACCGUAAAAUUGCAGUUGAUACUGGAUAUCUUGAGUGCAGUUGAGGCAGGCGGAAUUCGUGGUGUAGCGGUGAAAUGCUUAGAUAUCACGAAGAACUCCGAUUGCGAAGGCAGCCUGCUAAGCUGCAACUGACAUUGAGGCUCGAAAGUGUGGGUAUCAAACAGGAUUAGAUACCCUGGUAGUCCACACGGUAAACGAUGAAUACUCGCUGUUUGCGAUAUACUGCAAGCGGCCAAGCGAAAGCGUUAAGUAUUCCACCUGGGGAGUACGCCGGCAACGGUGAAACUCAAAGGAAUUGACGGGGGCCCGCACAAGCGGAGGAACAUGUGGUUUAAUUCGAUGAUACGCGAGGAACCUUACCCGGGCUUAAAUUGCAGAUGAAUUACGGUGAAAGCCGUAAGCCGCAAGGCAUCUGUGAAGGUGCUGCAUGGUUGUCGUCAGCUCGUGCCGUGAGGUGUCGGCUUAAGUGCCAUAACGAGCGCAACCCUUGUUGUCAGUUACUAACAGGUUUCGCUGAGGACUCUGACAAGACUGCCAUCGUAAGAUGUGAGGAAGGUGG
rnacentral:rRNA from 1 species